UAACGCAGUUAGAAUGCGAAGCUCGAAUCUUAUUGGAGCGUGAUCUUGCCUUAUGGCUUCCGGGCGCGUUUUACGGCAUUUUACGGCUUUCCAUUCACUUCGCUGUGAAGAUGGCGUCGGGCAGCGGGACAAAAAACUUGGACUUUCGCCGAAAGUGGGACAAAGAUGAAUACGAGAAACUCGCGGAGAAGAGACUCACAGAAGAGAGAGAAAAGAAGGAUGGAAAACCAGUGCAGCCCGUCAAGCGGGAGCUUCUUCGGCACAGAGACUACAAGGUGGACUUGGAGUCCAAGCUUGGGAAGACAAUCGUCAUUACCAAGACAACCCCACAGUCUGAAAUGGGAGGCUACUACUGCAAUGUCUGUGACUGUGUGGUGAAGGACUCCAUCAACUUCCUGGACCACAUUAAUGGAAAGAAACAUCAGCGAAACCUGGGUAUGUCUAUGCGUGUGGAACGCUCCACUCUGGAUCAGGUAAAGAAACGUUUUGAGGUCAACAAGAAGAAGAUGGAAGAGAAGCAGAAAGAUUAUGAUUUUGAGGAAAGGAUGAAGGAACUGAGAGAAGAGGAGGAAAAGGCUAAAGCAUACAAGAAAGAGAAGCAGAAGGAGAAGAAAAGGAGGGCUGAGGAGGACUUGACGUUUGAGGAGGAUGACGAGAUGGCAGCUGUGAUGGGCUUCUCUGGCUUUGGCUCCGCCAAGAAGAGUUACUGAGGCAUUCUCUUGGGCCUAACUUUGGCCUAUACUGGACCUAACUUUGAGUGUGUGUUGAGGUUCUUGGAAGAACCUGUCUGAUGCAAAAAAGAAUGAAAACAAGACAAAAGAACCCUAAAACCAAACAAACUCUGGGGGACCUUGGUUCUCAGACACUGUUCAACGUGUACAAUAAAUGACACUGACUGGGCCUGUUUCACAUUUGUUGGGAACAUUUUCAUAUCAUUCCCUGUCCCGCAAGUUCCUGCUCUAAGGAUUUCCAUAUAGAGCCUUUCCCUUUCAUUUGAAACUCCCCCCCUCCCCCCAGUAUAGGUUUCCUCAGUGUGAGUUUUCCCCUCUGCUAAUAGGAUCUGUGCCCUUGAGAGUCUGAACAAAACAGUUUAGCCUCCUGUAAUUUUAGCAUCCUCUGAUCUUAGCAGAAGAGCUCAGGGUUGAACCUGUCUGCAGUUGGGCAGGCACUGGGUUACUCAGUCUUGGCACUGUUGAUGAGCUAGGUAAGUCUUUGAGGUUUUUGUUUUGUAUUUUUGAGACAGAGUCUCACUUGGCUGGCCUUGAACUCAGAGAUCCACCUGCCUCAGCCUCUUCAGUGCUGGGAUUAAAGUUUUGUGCCUCCAUGCCUAGCCAGGACUGCACUAUAGGAUGUUAAGCAGCAUCCCUGGCCUCCACUUAGUAGAUGUCAGUAGCACUCCCUUCCAUCCAAUUUUUGACAACUGAAAAUAUCUUUGUUCCCUGGAAAUGAGUAAAUGGCUCUCCCAUUGGAAAUGACUAAGAAACUUCCCCACUGUGGUAUAACUUGUGAACUACAGUACAUAGACUGGUCAAAAAAAAUCCCCCCCCCCCCCCAUGGGCUGGAGAGAUGGCUCAGAGGUUAAGAGCACUGACUGCUCUUCCAGAGGUCCUGAGUUCAAUUCCCAGCAACCACAUGGUGGCUCACAACCAUUUGUAAUAAGAUCUGGCACCCUCUUCUGUAUACAUAAAUCUUUUUAAAAAAUGAUUUUAAAAAAUGCAUCUCCCAAAAAACAAAACAACACUGAGAACUGGAUCACAUACUGUGCCUUGUGUAGGGGGUUCAAGGGUGAGAUGGGGAUGAGGGCAUAGGGGACAGUCAUACAAGUCAUGUAAACAGAUGAAACUCCUUUUGCUGGCUCUAUGCUCUCAAUAAAGGGGUCCAUUUGAGUUAACAAGACUGCCACAAUAUGACUCUUUCUCUGACCUAUGUAAUUCCUCACUUUUAUGUAGUAUCUGAAACACUGGAUCCCACAAAGCUUUGGAUCCCACCCUUUGGGUUUGUGUGUAAGAUUAACUUACUGAUAGGUCUGCCUUUUGCUUAAUGAGUUCUUGUGUAGAAUUUGGCUAUUGGGAAUGCUGAAUAAAUAUGUGCAUCUA